GAUCAUGGCUCAGGAUGAACGCUAGCGGCAGGCCUAAUACAUGCAAGUCGAACGGAUAUAUGUUUUUCGGAAUAUAUAUUAGUGGCGCACGGGUGAGUAACACGUACAUAACUUGCCCUCAAGCGGGGGAUAGCCUUGGGAAACUGAGAGUAAUACCCCAUAGAAUUAUUGGACGGCAUCGUUUGAUAAUUAAAACUACGGUGCUUGGGGAUAGAUGUGCGUCUGAUUAGCUAGUUGGUGAGGUAACUGCUCACCAAGGCGACGAUCAGUAGGGGGCGUGAGAGCGUGGCCCCCCACACGGGUACUGAGACACGGACCCAACUCCUACGGGAGGCAGCAGUAAGGAAUAUUGGUCAAUGGAGGGAACUCUGAACCAGCCAUGCCGCGUGAAGGAUGACGGCCCUCUGGGUUGUAAACUUCUUUUGGAUGGGGCGAAAAAACGGGAUUUAUCCUGGACUGACGGUACCAUCAGAAUAAGCACCGGCUAACUCCGUG
rnacentral:rRNA from 1 species